rnacentral:rRNA from 2 species
CUUACCAACCCGAUGCAAACUGCGAAUACCGGAGAAUGUUAUCACGGGAGACACACGGCGGGUGCUAACGUCCGUCGUGAAGAGGGAAACAACCCAGACCGCCAGCUAAGGUCCCAAAGUCAUGGUUAAGUGGGAAACGAUGUGGGAAGGCCCAGACAGCCAGGAUGUUGGCUUAGAAGCAGCCAUCAUUUAAAGAAAGCGUAAUAGCUCACUGGUCGAGUCGGCCUGCGCGGAAGAUGUAACGGGGCUAAACCAUGCACCGAAGCUGCGGCAGCGA